UCCGCGGUCACAAUGUAUUUAAUGUUAACAAUUAUAGGUCUAAGUACGGCCUUCAAGACGGAGCCUUGGCUCACCCCGAACGGCAAUCUCAGCUUGUUUUUGCAUAAAAGUUGCUUCCAGGUUCAAGCAAUACUGAUGUUUCUUAAAGUAAGGAAAUCGAAGGGAAACGGGUCAUUUUUAGCCAAUGACUGAGAGAACAAAAUCGGCAUCAAUCGGUGGCCCCAAACCCCUGCCUCCCCUGAAUUCGAAC
rnacentral:lncRNA from 1 species